rnacentral:rRNA from 1 species
UGCCAGACUCCUACGGGAGGCAGCAGUGGGGAAUAUUGCACAAUGGGGGAAACCCUGAUGCAGCGACGCCGCGUGAGUGAAGAAGUAUUUCGGUAUGUAAAGCUCUAUCAGCAGGGAAGAUAAUGACGGUACCUGACUAAGAAGCCCCGGCUAACUACGUGCCAGCAGCCGCGGUAAUACGUAGGGGGCAAGCGUUAUCCGGAUUUACUGGGUGUAAAGGGAGCGUAGACGGCAGGGCAAGUCUGGAGUGAAAGGCAGGGGCCCAACCCCUGGACUGCUCUGGAAACUGUCCGGCUGGAGUGCAGGAGAGGUAAGUGGAAUUCCUAGUGUAGCGGUGAAAUGCGUAGAUAUUAGGAGGAACACCAGUGGCGAAGGCGGCUUACUGGACUGUAACUGACGUUGAGGCUCGAAAGCGUGGGGAGCAAACAGGAUUAGAUACCCUUGUAC